rnacentral:tRNA from 1 species
GCGGGUGUAGCUCAGUGGUAGAGCGUCUGCUUCCCAAGCAGAAUGUCGAGAGUUCAAUCCUCUUCGCCCGCUCCA